UGUCUCGCAAAACUCCAGAUCCUCUCUCUCUCUCUCUCUCUCUCUCUCUCUACGACUCAAGAACAUCAUGCCAGAUCUCUCAUCAGAUGUCGUUUCAUGACAAGAUCGUUGAAGUGGUUCCGACACCUGAGCCCAGGUGGAGGAGACUAGGGUUUCGGCGAAGAUAAAGCCAUCGGAGGCUGAACCACCGGUGCAGGUAUCAUCUUCAUCAUCUAAACUAUCAUUGUUGGGAACACGGAUGCCGUUUAUUGUUUACAAUUAGAUCCAUUGGCAGCUAUUGAACCAUCUUUCUUCAAGGUUGAAAACCCAAUUAAUUGAGAUGUACGAUAGAUUACGGGUCGGAGCGGUUGCAGGCGGAACAUAUCCAGCAAUUGGAGUGGAUACAACCUGGUUAAGAAACAGGGCUCGAAGGCGGUAUACCUUCCAUAAAAUGGUCUGGUGUAGAUGGAGAGGAUAAUGUUUUAAUUAUUGAUUUGCUAGGACCGAGUCUUGAGGACCUGUUUGUGUACUGUGGGAGGAAAUUUCAAUUGAAAACAGUCUUGAUGUUGGCUGAUUAAAGGAAUUUCGAAUAUAUACCCUACAAGAGUAAGAAUUUGAAGACUCGAGCCAUUAAUGCUGAAAGACCAUUGAUGGGGAAUGAAAUGUAAAGAAGCACUUACAAAUUUUGGCUUUGAUACUGCCUAUAAGGUAUUUUCUUUUAUGUCCUUCGUUUUCAUGUCAUUGUUAUAUUCUAAUGCUUCU